UAAGCUUGAUAAGACAGUGAUAAAAUAAAUGUUUCCGUUUUAGUAGAUAGUCAAAUGAAGUUUAAAAUAAUUAUAAAUUACUUUGCAAUGUUCUUUGAAGCAGUUAGCAAUUAUUUAACAUCACCAACGGAUUAACUGAAGCAAUUAAGAUGACAAUUCGCAUGCUCGUCCUGCUAUGCUGCCUAGCAUUCGUCAGUGCAAAACCGAAUUACCCCGUCUACCCUCGGACAGAUAGUGCCAAUCAAAGAAACCCAGUUAACGUUGAUCCAAACAAUUCUUCGAACGCUGUCGCAGCUCAGAACUCCAUCGUCGGUAACAUUGGACAAAAUGUUAGAAGAAGAACUUCAACAUAUCCAAGGAACCAGGGACGUCCACAUGGGAACAAUAAUUCGGCGAAUGCAGUGGCUGCCGAAGACUCUUUAGUCAGAAACUUAACUUGUAACAGUAGUUUUUAUUAGACAGUGCUUAAAACAAUUGAAGGAAUCGAUUAGAUUAUUGUUUUGUUUGAACUGUUAGUUUUGAAGACCUAUUUGUUUACUUAUUAAAUUGUAUUUCAAAUAAAUAUUGAGUAUAUUUAA